GGUCUGUUAGCUCAGUCGGUAGAGCGCGGUGCUGAUAACGCCAAGGUGGUGAGUUCGAUACUCACACAGACCA